UGAAAGAAUGCAGAAAUUAUG
rnacentral:piRNA from 1 species